rnacentral:rRNA from 1 species
UACGUAGGUGGCAAGCGUUGUCCGGAAUCACUGGGCGUAAAGCGCGCGCAGGCGGCGAUCUACGUCUGGGGUGAAAGCCCGGAGCUCAACUCCGGGACUGCCUUGGAUGCGGGAUCGCUUGAGGAUUGGAGAGGCAAGGGGAAUUCCACGUGUAGCGGUGAAAUGCGUAGAUAUGUGGAGGAACACCUGUGGCGAAGGCGCCUUGCUGGCCAAUUUCUGACGCUGAGGCGCGAAAGCGUGGGGAGCAAACAGG